AAAUAGAUAAUCAAUGUUUUGAAAAUUGUACCGAACAUUGAUUUAGCAUUGUAAAUAAGUCAAUGAUCAGGUCCGUCCACUCAAUUAAACCAAAUUUUAAUUUAUAAUCAAAUUUUAAUCCCAUCCUUUGAAGGGACAUGUUAGAAUAGAUCAAUAGUCAUGAUUAUGUUAUAGAAUUAAAAAACACAAAUAUGAAAAUUAAAUA
rnacentral:lncRNA from 1 species